ACCACAACGGUGGAGUCUGCGGUUUAAUUGGAUUCGAACGCCGGAAAUCUUACCGGGACCGACAGCAAUAUGAAGGCCAGGCUGAAGACUUUGCCGGAUUAGCUGAGAGGUGGUGCAUGGCCGUCGUCAGUUCGUACUGUGAAGCAUCCUGUUAAGUCAGGCAACGAGCGAGACCCACGCCCACAGUUGCCAGCGUACUCUCUGGAGUGACGGGUACACUGUGGGACCGCCGCUGCUAAAGCGGAGGAAGGAAUGGGCAACGGUAGGUCAGUAUGCCCCGAAUAUCCCGGGCUACACGCGAGCUACAAUGGUUGGUACAAUGGGUAUCUACCCCGAAAGGGGACGGGAAUCUCCUAAAACCAAUCUUAGUUCGGAUUGAGGGCUGCAACUCGCCCUCAUGAAGCUGGAAUCCGUAGUAAUCGCGUUUCAACAGAACGCGGUGAAUACGUCCCUGCUCCUU
rnacentral:rRNA from 1 species